CGAUUUGCUGCGGGCAGAUAAAAUGGAUGUGGCUGUCAAAGCCGCCCGCAGUCAGGAUCUUGCCUUCGCCCGCGAUCGCUUCGGUGCCGGGACCGACGAUAAUAUCAACGCCGUCUUGCGUAUCAGGAUUGCCCGCCUUGCCAAUGGCGCAAAUCCGGCCAUCCCGCAAUCCGAUGUCGGCCUUAUAGAUACCGUUGUAAUCCACCACCAAAGCAUUGGUAAUAACGGUGUCCACCGCCCCCUCGGCGCGGGUCGCUUGGGAUUGGCCCAUGCCAUCGCG
rnacentral:sRNA from 1 species